AAAGUCGUAACAAGGUCUCCGUUGGUGAACCAGCGGAGGGAUCAUUACCGAGUUUACAACUCCCAAACCCCUGUGAACAUACCUUAUGUUGCCUCGGCGGAUCAGCCCGCGCCCCGUAAAAAGGGACGGCCCGCCGCAGGAACCCUAAACUCUGUUUUUAGUGGAACUUCUGAGUAUAAAAAACAAAUAAAUCAAAACUUUCAACAACGGAUCUCUUGGUUCUGGCAUCGAUGAAGAACGCAGCAAAAUGCGAUAAGUAAUGUGAAUUGCAGAAUUCAGUGAAUCAUCGAAUCUUUGAACGCACAUUGCGCCCGCCAGUAUUCUGGCGGGCAUGCCUGUUCGAGCGUCAUUUCAACCCUCAAGCCCAGCUUGGUGUUGGGAGCUGCAGUCCUGCUGCACUCCCCAAAUACAUUGGCGGUCACGUCGAGCUUCCAUAGCGUAGUAAUUUACACAUCGUUACUGGUAAUCGUCGCGGCCACGCCGUUAAACCCCAACUUCUGAAUGUUGACCUCGGAUCAGGUAGGAAUACCCGCUGAACUUAAGCAUAUCAAUA
rnacentral:rRNA from 1 species